AUUGAACGCUGGCGGCAUGCUUUACACAUGCAAGUCGAACGGCAGCGCGGGCUUCGGCCUGGCGGCGAGUGGCGAACGGGUGAGUAAUGCAUCGGAACGUGCCCAGUAGUGGGGGAUAGCCCGGCGAAAGCCGGAUUAAUACCGCAUACGACCUGAGGGUGAAAGCGGGGGACCGAAAGGCCUCGCGCUAUUGGAGCGGCCGAUGUCGGAUUAGCUAGUUGGUGGGGUAAAGGCUUACCAAGGCGAUGAUCCGUAGCUGGUCUGAGAGGACGACCAGCCACACUGGGACUGAGACACGGCCCAGACUCCUACGGGAGGCAGCAGUGGGGAAUUUUGGACAAUGGGGGCAACCCUGAUCCAGCCAUGCCGCGUGCGGGAAGAAGGCCUUCGGGUUGUAAACCGCUUUUGUUCGGGAAGAAAUCCUCUGGGCUAAUACCCCGGGGGGAUGACGGUACCGGAAGAAUAAGCACCGGCUAACUACGU
rnacentral:rRNA from 1 species